rnacentral:lncRNA from 1 species
ACGAAGGCAAACGUUUAAAUGUGUCUCGGCUUUUAUUGUGAAAUGCAUUAUUUUCACCUACUGUGCUUUUCAAGGAAUCUAACGUUAUAUCAAAUAACUGAAAGAACUUAAAAUAGUUUUGUUUUCUUACAUAGACAAGUACGAGUUGUUAAAGUAACAUUGCUAUUUUAAAGCAAUAAUAAUGCAAAUUAAUGCAGUAAAAUGUACUUUUAACGCAACUGCUAUUAAAUCAGGAGGUUUUUUAUACGAACACGUAAACAGGAAAAGUGUUUUAUUACAAUAAACUAUAUAAGACUAACUCAGUUUGUAAAAUUCAAUAAUUAAAGUUAUUUUCAGACAAGUGCCUAUUUUUGUGACGCACUUCUGAUAUUGUGCUUUAAAAGCAGAAGAAAGCGCACCAUGGUCUAGGACUGAUAAACAAGGAUGUUAAUGAUGUAAGAUGUUAUCAUUAUAAUGGAUGGAACAGCGAUUAUUGUUUCGGUGUUUCUAUGUCAUUGAACUCGUUAUUAAGUGCAAGUUAUUAUAUUGCAAUAAUGUGUAAUACCUGGAUCAAACCUCGUUAAAUUUUAAACUAUCAGAUUUGAUGAAUAUUAGUUAAGCAUGGAGAAAGGAACAUGUACCAGUAUUAAAUAAUUCACCGGAAGUAUAGAAUAAAUCUAGAAACCAUUAUUCUUUAGGCAUAGAAUAUCAAUAUAUUGAUCUGUUCGUGAAAACUAGAAAGUCGACAAUAGAUUUUACAUUGAUACAUUUAGUUGGAUAACUUAAACAUUUUUGUGAAGACACAAAACAUGAACUUACAACAGAUGACAAUUAUACUGCUUGUGUUGUCAUGCACAGUAGGGUUAUCUAGAGGUGCACCGGUAUCAACUGACAAGCUUCAAUUUAAAAACGGACAAGGAGCUUGUGAAUGGGGAUGUAACUCUAACAUUGAUGAAAAACUUAAGCUGUGUGAAGCUCUAUGUCAUGUAGACAUGCAUCAAAAUCAGUUCCAACAUGAGGGCGAAAUGAAAUGCCAAGGUGUAUGUGCAGUCAAGUAUCUAAGCUGCUUUGAUGGAUGUCCACAGUUUUCCAGCGAGAAACUUUCCCUUACUUGAACGAAUUUAGUGAAUGUGAGUUGGGAGAAUAGUGUUAGUGCGUCAAAAAAAGCACAUGCAUCACCCAUGAUGAUGGGUUUAGUUGUAACCCGUGUAAUCAAUAUAUAUAUAUUUGCUAAACAAAAGUAAUUAAUAUACCAAAUAGUACAAUGGACCUGCAAAUCGAAUAACAAAUACUAAUGUGUUUUGUGUGCGCUAAACCAUUUAAUUUGAUGCAUGGAUAUUUAAGGUAGAUAGCAAUUAUGUUCACAGUAACAGACAGGGACGGACGACGCUCUAUAUAUCGCACUAACGAGAUAAUAUGGGGUAAAGUUUAAAGAAGCAAAUAUAGCUUUUCAAGAUACCAGAGAAAGUUCAAAUUCGAAGUGAAAAAUAACUACACUGUACCAAUAUUUUAUGUUGUGACUUGUGUAAAAUCAAAGUGUAAUAUGCAAUAAAGCAUUUGUUAUUACAAUCCGUUUAUACAAGCUGAGCUAAACUUUGUGAAUUCAUGAAGUAUGUGUUUUGAAAAAUUGCUUUCAAGGUUAACUGUCGUUAUUUGGGAAUUUUAGAAUUACACAUACACACAAACAUCGAGUCCUACAGAUUCCUUAUUUUACUUUCUGUGAUUGUCAUUGCAAAUGAACUUCCGCAUGAAUGCGUGAAAGUAAAUUGUAUUUGUGUAUUGCUGUCUUCGUUACAUUUUAACUUUAACAAUGUCAUGGUCGCUUCGGUAGCUUUUCUGACAAAUCACCACAUUAUAUUUGGAAACAUUUCAUUACCACUUGUAAUGCAUUUAAUUAUUUUUAGUUAAGUCAUGAUUUUUUUUUUCAAAUACGUCUUACUGUAAAAUAGCACAGGAAAUUAAAACAGAAUAUGUGACAACACA